rnacentral:rRNA from 1 species
GACGAACGCUGGUGGCGUGCUUAACACAUGCAAGUCGAACGGAAAGGCCCUGCUUUUGUGGGGUGCUCGAGUGGCGAACGGGUGAGUAACACGUGAGUAACCUGCCCUUGACUUUGGGAUAACUUCAGGAAACUGGGGCUAAUACCGGAUAGGAGCUCCUGCUGCAUGGUGGGGGUUGGAAAGUUUCGGCGGUUGGGGAUGGACUCGCGGCUUAUCAGCUUGUUGGUGGGGUAGUGGCUUACCAAGGCUUUGACGGGUAGCCGGCCUGAGAGGGUGACCGGCCACAUUGGGACUGAGAGACGGCCCAGACUCCUACGGGAGGCAGAAGUGGGGAAUAUUGAACAAUGGGCGGAAGCCUGAUGCAGAAACGCAGCGUGCGGGAUGACGGCCUUCGGGUUGUAAACCGAUUUAGAAUGUGACGAAGCGUGAGUGACGGUAAUGGGUAAAGAAGCACCGGCUAACUACGUG